CAGGUGCAGCGCAGCGCGUGUGAGGUGAAAGCUACCUUCCGAGUUUCGGAUCAACAUUUAUCGACUGAUCUCCCAGACCUUACGUUGGAGAAUUUUCUGACAAAAACAAAAUAAAAACGAUGAAGACUUCCUUCCUCCAGAUCCUACAGGAUCCUCACCUAGUCGCCAGAUUUCAGAGAUGCUGUGGUUUGUUUCUGCGAGUUGAAGAACGCCUUUCCGGCAGCUGCAGCAACUCUCACGGCAACACAGCUGGGAGCCAGGGACCCGUGGAAAAAGCUGGUGUCAUCAGGACCGGUGAAUGUACGAAUGGUAACCAGAGAUACAAGAUCAAUGGGUCACAUCAAUACCCUCAUGGACGGGGAAACGAGGACAAUCAUGGGGAGAAGCCAGGAUACGUGGUGAAGAACUAUUUUUUCUACUACUUGUUCCGAUUUGCUGCUGCACUGGGCCAGGAGAUAUUUUACAUCACAUUCCUUCCAUUUACCUAUUGGAAUUUUGAUCCAUUUGUUUCGAGGAGGCUGGUUGGCGUGUGGGCUAUUGUUAUGUAUUUGGGGCAAGCCUCCAAAGACAUCAUUAAGUGGCCUCGUCCAUUAUCCCCACCAGUUGUAAAGUUGGAAACAAGAGUUGAUGCAGAGUAUGGUAUGCCAUCAACACAUGCCAUGGCAGCAACUGCUAUCUCCUUUACAUUCCUUGUCGCUACAAUGUACAGAUACAAGUAUUCAGUUGCAUUAGGACUAAUGGCAUCUACGGUGCUGUCUGCGCUGGUCUCACUCAGCAGGCUCUACACAGGAAUGCACACUGUGCUGGAUGUGAUCUGUGGAAUCCUUGUUACUGCAGUGUUUAUGGCUCUUACAUAUCCUUUCUGGAACAUUAUUGACAAUUUCCAGUUAACCAGUCCUUUAACCCCCAUCAUUGCAAUAGUUAUACCCUUUCUCAUGAGUUAUACCUAUCCAGCAUUAGAUCAUUACAGCCCAACCAGAGGGGACACCACGAUUAUCCUGGGUGUUGCAUCAGGAUGUACAAUUGGCUUUUGGAUGAACUAUCAGUAUGGUCGGACAUAUGAGCCCACAGGACCUCUCCCAUUUGAACUACCUCCUAUAACACUGGAAGUUGCAUCACUAGCCAUUGCACGCUUUCUCGUCGGAAUUAUUGUUCUUGUUGCUACUCGCCAAGUUGUUAAAACAUUCUCCCUCAAAGCACUGUGUGCAUGGUUUAAUGUUGGAGAACAUGAUAAGGAAGCUAGGAAAAGACUGGAAAUUGAAGUACCAUAUAAGUUCGUAACAUAUUCAUCCAUUGGCUUCAAUGCAACAGCUGUAGUUCCUUUGCUGUAUCAAUUCCUUAAACUACUGUGAGGACAGCUAAUGGAUGGAGUUUUGUUGUAAUUUCUUAUGUGGACUGAGGUGCAUUAAAUGCAUUGAUGAAGACCCACAUAAAAGAUAUUUCCUGCACUAUCAUAGCACAACCUUUCAGUUAAAUAUUAUUCGUGUGUAUGUGAAAUCAUUUCAUACUUUAGUUACUUUCCUAGUGUCCUGGUAAUUCCCAUUGCUAGCCAAGAUUGUAUGUGGGUGAUCUAACCUCAAAGCAACAAUGCGAUGAAACAAAUAUUUAAAUGUGCAAAGGAAGCCUAAAGUCAUUGACUCUUGCAUUCCUUUUUUUUGGUCUCCUCUUUCCAUUUCUCAACUGUUCUAUGUUUGCUUGAAAGACCACAGGAAUGAACCCACAUUUCACCACUCACACUUCAGUGCUACAUACUGCUGCUUCAGUGUGCUUCAGGACAGUGAAGAAAACUUUAUAACAGUUUUCCAAAUAUAAAUAUACUGCAAUCAAGAAGUGAAUCUUAAUGAAUAUGGCCUUUUAACGAGAUCAUUGGGUCAGCAAUUUCUUUGCAUUAGGGAAAAUACGUUUAAACAAACUUUUAAUAUUUUUACGUCAAUUUCAGAUGAAAAGCCAAUGGCAGUUAUUGUUGCUAGGUAAUUACCUUACUGAAAAGCAUUUGAUUUUUUGAAAUAGAGCUUUAUUUGAUUGUUGGAUUCAAAUUUGAAUAGGUUAAUCUUUCUUCUGGAACAAAGUUCAAUGUGAUUAACUAAUGGUGCACUUGUGAUAUAGUACCAUUGGCACCUUUACUGCAGUUCUUUAACAUGCCAGCAGCUACAGAUAGAUUAUGGUAAUUGUUUCUAAACAUGAAACAUAAACAAUUUACCAGUGACCUUAAAUAUUCACUGUAUCCAUCAAUGACACACAGUGGCUGCAGUGUGUACCAUAUACAAGAUGCACUGUUGGUACUCUCCAAUGCUUCUUUAACAAAACCUUCCAAAUCUGCAACCUCCAAAACCUAGGAAAAAAAAGUACAUUCAUUCCCCUUCAAGCCAUACACCACUUCGACUUGGAAAUAUAUUGCUGUUUCUUUGUUGUUGUCGGGUGACAAACCAAGAACACCUUACCCUGCAGCCCUUUGGGUAAACCUACACAGACUCCAGCAAUUCAAGAAAUUGAUUUACCUUCUCAGAAAUAUUUGGGGUGGGCCUUCCCAGUGAUACCAAUAACUCAUGGAAUAAAUAAAAGUAAGAUCGUUUCUUACACAAAUAAUAUAUUUUGAGUUUUGAAUAUGUUCUGGAUAUGCAUUGUCCUAAUAAUUUAGCUAUAACAGUAAAAUAACACCUUCAACAUUGAAAACAAUGUUCCAUAGUGUUUUAGUCACAAAGGAAAAAUGUAUAUUAUUGGACAGGGAAAUAAUCAUCUCCUUAUGAUCCUUUUAGUCCAAGCAAAGGUGAAGCAAUUAUGUGCAUAUUUUGUUCUGGAAAAAUCCAUUUAAACAAAUUUGUAAAACUCUCUCCAUGCUCCCUUUCCACUUUAAAGUCAUUGAUCAUGAUGUCACUUCUCAAAUACUUAUGCUCAUCUUUCCCAGAACUCCUAUUUACAUCCUCCAGUCAGGUCAGGUCACAAAUGACAUUGCACUUAAUGGUAACCAAAACUAUUAUCCCACCUCAUUUUUAUCAGUCUGUCUUAAACUUUUUAACAUAUUUGACCACAUUAUCCUUGCCAUUUUUCAUCUAGCUGGGUUAGACUGCAUUCAACUGGCUCCAUUCUUAUUUAUCUGAUUAUAAACCAAAGAAACAGGUACAAUGACUUCUCUCCUUAGUCCCCCGUAGACCAAGACGGUCUCCACCAGAAUCUGUCUUUGGCAUCUUCUCUUAUUUAUAUGCUAUUCCUCGGCCACUUUAUCAGAACACAUGGUAAAUUGAUGUCACUCAGUGCUACCUCACAGUUGCUUCUCUAUAGUUGCAUUGUAUCUAAUACAGGACAAGCAGAGGUUUCCACCAACUAAAUAUUGGGAAGUGAGAGGCCACUGUCUUUGACUCCUGUCACAAAUUUUGCCCCCUAGCCAAUGACACCAUGCCUUUCUUUUGAAUCAACUCAGGUUAAGCAACAAAGAGAUGUUAAAAUUCUCAUUUUUUUUUCCAACCCCUGCUUGACCUGACCUUUCCAGCCUCACAGUUCUCUGAGGUCUCUGAACAUCUCUGAUUUUGGCUCUUGAACAUUACCCAAUUUUAAUUGCUCUACUGUUAGGACCUUAUCUUAAACUGCCUUAGUUCUGCACUCUGGGUUUCCUUGCCACACUUCUCUGCCUCUCCACCUCACUUUCCUCCUUUAAGAUAAUCCUUAAAAGCUACUUCUUUUGCCAAGCUUUUGGACAACUGCUCUAAUAAAGCGUGACGUGACUUAGAGAUAACAAAGUGUGGAGCUGGAGGAACACAGCAGGCCAGGCAGCUUCAGAGGAGCAGCUAAGCUGAUGUUUUGGGUCAGGACCCUUCUUCAGAGUCAUAUUUUGUUUUAUACUGUCUCUGUGAAGUGUCUUGGGACAUUUUAUUUCAUUCAAAUUGCUGCAUAAAUAUAUGUAAUUGUUGUUAUUGCAGACCCUUUUUAAAUGGCAGGUAUUCCAAUGUAAGAUUAUCAACAAGGACUUCUGCUGCUGAUGUUGCUGAAAUGAAUGAUACAAAGAAUGAGAAGUGGGCGCAUAAUGCCCACAAAAAGUCAAGGAUGUAAGCGGAGUGCCUAACCUUGAACUAGAGGAGGUGCUGAAGUUGGCACCAAAUCAAGGCAGUUGCCCUGUCAAUUUGGAGGAUGUCUGAGGAGGACGUUGAAGGGGCAUCAGCUUCCAAAGCCCACAGCUCUGCCCUGCUAAGCCUGCACAGAAAGUACUGAGAGGGGGUGGUGCAAAGGGUCAGAAGAAGCUGAGGCAGGUGGAAGGAAUGAAGAAUUGAGGGGGAUGACUUAGGAAGUUUGCAGCAUUUGGGGAGCGAUGUCUCAAUUUUGAAGGUAUUAAAGUUUCAGCCCUGGUUACCAUUUCCCAGUUGUUUAGACCAAGAUCGGAGGAGCGCACUUUCUGUACCUCUCUAGGUCCACUGCUUCACUGGUCACAACAUAAGUUUGAAUGUUUUACCUAGUUACUUAGAUGGCCAAACAUACUUUAUUCAGAUUGAUUUAUAAUAAACAGACAGAUCCAUCAUGAUAUUUUGAUAAAAACAAUUGUUGGUUUCUUAGAAAACAGAACUUACUCAAUGUAGAUACCAACUAAUUAAAGAUACCUGCCCCUAGUAUGAAAGUAUAUUUACCUCCCUAACUAACCACACAGACAUAAGCACCAAACAAAAGAAAGCAAGAAAAUGGAUUUCUCUGCAGAGAUUCACUUUGGAAAAGUUAACACUUUCUGCCUAUAACUUUUACUUUUUGAUUUGGUUCAAUCUGGUGUUCUGGUACAUGUGGUUAGGUGACUUGACAUAUACAGUUGUCCCUGGAAUUUUUUCAGAUGCAAUUGUUCAGUAAAUAUUGAGGCAAAUUCCAAUAGAGGCUUCUCAAGAGGGCAGUUCAAUCAGUGUUUCAGGUACCACACUCAAUGCAAUUCAUGGGUUUCUCAGGAAACAUGUGCUGGGAUACCCCUUUCCUUCAGCAGGAAGGACACCAACUCCCAUGCAUCAAAAUAGUGUUCAAACAGAAACUAGCUCUCUGGCAUUCAUGAAUACUGAGAUAAAUGAUCUUCAGCAAACAAGGCUAGCAAUUAGCAGAAACCAUGUGGUUUCACAAGUUAUGCCUUCUUAAAAGAAAAGUUCCAAGGGCCAAAGUGAUCUGUAAAAAAACCCAGCUAAACGCAGAAUUUGGAACCAUCCCAUUUUCCCACAAUCCUUCUAAAUUCAAGUCCUUAAAAAUUAAUUAUAAAGGCAUCAUGUCAAAAUGGAGAAAGUGUGUGUGUGUGGCUUUGGGAGGCAGCUCAAAAAAGAUUAGCUAGGCUGAUUCCUGAUGAAGAGAUUAAUUUAUCAAAAGUUUGCUAAACAGGCCCUCUCUGAUGAAGGGUCUAGGCCCGAAACGUCAGCUUUUGUGCUCCUGAGAUGCUGCUGGGCCUGCUGUGUUCAUCCAGCCUCACAUUUCAUUAUCCAGGCCUUCUUGCAUUGCAAGUUUCGAGAAAGGAGGCUUGAUCUUAUUGAAAUUCCGGAGCAUCUUGAGGUUGGAUAUUGAGAAGCUGUUUCCACUAGGAGUGAAUCUCAGACUAGGAGACGUAGUUACAGAAUAAGGGAGCACUUAUUUCUAACAGAGAUCCAAGGGAAUUUUUUUUCCCAGAGGGUAGUGAAUGUCUAUUAACCUUUAUCCCAGAGAAUUGUUGAAGCUACAUCACUGAAAGCUUUUAAAGAGGAGGUAGAUAGAUUAUCAAACUCACGAGGAAUUGAGGGUUAUGAGGAGCUGACACAAAAAAAAUGUUGAUGCCUGGGGUAGAUCAGGUAGGAUGUUAUAGAAUGGCAGAGAAUACUUGAAGUCUGAAUGACCUGUUCUUGCUCCAAGUUCUUAUGUGGGAAAUGUAUAACACUGAUUCGAUCAAAUUAAAAUGGUGACCUUCAUAAUUGUUUGUUUUCCCCACAGGUGAAACCUCUGAAGUUUUAUCCACCAGUCCAGUUAACUUCUGAGGUUGAGGAGUCAGCCUCAGACGGCCACUGUCAUAUCCUUGGACAGCAAUUAGUUCCAGUGAGGAAAUACAUAUAUUGAUGGAUAUUUGUAACUCAGCUGAAAGAGAUCGAGACACUGAUGCAAGCACAUCACAACCACAUGACCAGUUGUCAGAGACCAAGUUAGUGUAGGCCUCUGGCAUUCAGGGGAUUUCUGGAAGUGACCUAGAUUCAGAGCCUCAGGCUGAUGAUGACCCUGUGGAAUCUUCACCAGGUGAAAGAUGCUGGAUGCAUGGUGCAAGCUAUGACAGGCAGACGGAGAUGUAACGGUGAUUCCAGAAACAUUAUGCUUACUGUCACCAAUAUUGGAGUAGUUAUCUAUGCCACGAGUGUUAUGAUCAGACACUCAUCAGAACGCAUGUCUCCUUCCAUUGAGACAUUAACAACUGCUCUGGAAGGGCAAACCCUGAGCUCUUUGAUGGAGUACAGGAUUUUCAGGUGUUUCAUGUACCAUUGUCUUAUCUCUGAGCUCCAGAGUCAGAGCCAGGAGGCAGAUGAGGAGCCUGGAUUAGAAGUUAGAUCCUAGCUAUUCCCAGGGAACAAGUAGAGCCAUGUUAAACUCAAGUGGGUGAAUGGCCAGCAGCUAUUGCUGUUAAAAUGCACUUCUCAGGCUGCUUUUGACUGGGACAGCAUUACCUCUGCUGAUCUGCUAUUGACUCCUACAGUGACAGAUCAGACUCCUGUCACUGUACAGGAGACUCCCAAGAUUCUGGGUCCCUCACAGUCCCAGCAGUGCCAGGAAAUUUGUGACAGACAGAGGGCCGAAAGUGUCAGCAGCACAGCAGAUGGUAAGAAGGGAGCUGCAGCACCAGAAUUACAUUAAUCACACACUAUUUUGUAAGGGUAGUUAGUUAGUUCUGAAAAUUGUUGUUUCAAUUUUGUGUUCAGUUACUGUUGUUUGCAUUUGCUUAUUACAUAAAGAACACAAGAACCAGGAGCUGGAAUAGGCCAUCUGGCCCUUCAAGCCUGCUCCCCCAUUCAAUAAGAACAUGGUUGAUCUUUUCAUGGCCUCAAGUCCACCCACACACCCUGUCAUCAUAACCUUUAAUUCUUUUACUGUCCAAAAAUUUAUUUAUCUUAGCUUUAAAAACAUUCAAUGAGGAAGUUCCCGAACUACUUCACUGGUCAAGGAAUCCCACAGAUUCACAAUCCUUUGGGUGAAGAAGUUCCUCCUCAAUUUAGUCCUAAAUCUGGUUCCCCGAAUUUUGAGGGUAUACCCUCUUGUUCUAGUUUCACCCGCCAGGGAAAAAAAAGCCUCCCUGUUUCUAUCUUAUCUAUUCCCUUCAUAAUUUUAUAUGUUUCUAUAUGAUUCCCACCCACUUUAUUCUUCUUAAUUCCAAAUGAAUUUAAUUACAGUCUAUUCAGCCUCUCCUCAUAAGCCAACCCUCUUAACUCUGGAAUCAACUUAGUGAAUCUCCUCUGCACCCCUUCCAAUGCCAGUACAUUCUUUCUCAAGUAAGGAGACCAAAACUACGCACUGUGCUUCAGGUGUAGCCUCACCAACACCCUAUACAGCUACAACAUAAUCCCCCUGCUUUUAAACUCAAUCUCUCUAGCAAUGAAGGGCAAACUUCCAUUUGCCUUCUUAAUUACCUGUUGUACUUGCUUCAUCAGUGUGUUAUGCAUAUGAUGUGCUCAUUUGGCUUUGGAUUGAUUAAAUGCUAUCAGGAAAUGUGCAUUCACAUGCACUCCUCUGAACAGCCUCAUUUUAUCCCUCACCAGCCAGGCCUGGUGUUGCUGCUUGGAAGGGAUGAAGAACAGCUGAUUAUGGCAAGAAACAAACAAAAGAAACAAAGAAAAUUACAGCACACGAACAGGCUCUUCGGCCCUCCAAGCCUGUGCUGAUCAAGAUCCUCUGUCUAACCUGUCAUCUAUUUUCUAACGGUCUGUGUCCAUUUGCUCCCUGCCCAUCCAUGUACCUGUCCAAAUAUAUCUUAAAAGACGCUAACGUGUCUGCAUCUACCACCUCCGCUGGCAACGUGUUCCAGGCACCCACCACCCUCUCUGUAAAGAACUUUCCACGCAUAUCUCCCUUAAACUUUCCUCCGCUCACUUUGAACUCAUGACCCCUAGUAAUUGAGACCCCAUUCUGGGAAAAAGCUUUUUGCUAUCCACCCUGUCUAUACCCCUCAUGAUUUUGUAGACCUCAAUCAGGUCCCCCCUCAAUCUCCGUCUUUCCAAUGAAAAUAAUCCUAAUCUAUUCAACCUCUCUUCAUAGCUAGCACCCUCCAUACCAGGCAACAUCCUGGUGAACCUCCUCUGCACCCUCUCCAAAGCAUCCACAUCCUUUUGGUAAUGUGGUGACCAGAAAUAUACACAAUACUCCAAAUGUGGCCGAACCAAAGUCCUAUAUAACUGCAACAUGACCUGUCAACUCUUGUACUCAAUACCCUGUCCAAUGAAGGAAAGCAUGCCGUAUGCCUUCUUGACCACCCUAUUGACCUGCGUUGUCACCUUCAGGGAACAAUGGACCUGAACACCCAGAUCUCGCUGUUCAUCAAUUUUCCCUAGGACUUUUCCAUUUACUGUAUAGUUCGCCCUCGAAUUUGAUCUUCCAAAAUGUAUCACCUCGCAUUUGCCCAGAUUGAACUCCAUCUGCCAUUUAUCUGCCCAACUCUCCAGUCUAUCUAUAUUCUGCUGUAAUUUCUGACAGUCCCCUUCACUAUCAGCUACUCCACCAAUCUUAGUGUCAUCAGCAAACUUGUUGAUCAGAUCACCUACACCUUCCUCCCGAUCAUUUACAUAUAUCACAAACAACAGUGGUCCAGCACAGACCCCUGUGGAACACCACUGGUUACAGGUGUCCAAUUUGAGAAACUCCCUUCUACUACUGCCCUCUGUCUCCUGUUGCCCAGCCGGUCUUUUUAUCCAUCUAGCUAGCAUACCCUGGACCCCAUGUGACUUCACUUUCUCCAUCACCCUGCCAUGGGGAACUUUAUCAAACGCCUUACUGAAGUCUAUGUAUAUGACAUCUACAGCCUUUCCCCUCAUCAAUCAACUUUGUCACAUCUUCAAAUAAUUCUAUUAAGUUGGUAAGACAUGACCUUCCCUGUACAAAACCAUGUUGUCUAUCACUGAUAAGCCCAUUUUCUUCCAAAUGGGAAUAGAUCCUAUCCCUCAAUAUCUUCUCCAGUAGCUUCCCUACCACUGACAUCAGGCUCACCGGUUGAUAAUUACCUGGAUUAUCCUUCCUGCCCUUUUUAAACAAGGGGACAACAUUAGCAAGUCUCCAGUCCUCUGGGACCUCACCUGUGUGUAAGGACACUGCAAACAUAUCUGUUAGGGCCCCAGCUAUUUCCUCUCUCGCUUCCCUCAGUAACCUGGGAUAGAUCCCAUCCGGACCUGGGGACUUGUCCACCUUAAUGUCUUUUAGGAUACCUAACACUUCCUCCUUCCUUAUGUCAACUUGAUCUAGACUAAGCAAACAUCUAUCCCUAACCUCAACAUCCAUCAUGUCCCUCUCCUUGGUGAAUACCGAUGCAAAGUUCUCGUUAAGAAUGUCACCCAUUUUCUCUGACUCAGCGCAUAACUUUCCUUCUUUGUCCUUAAGUAGGCCAAUCCUUUCUCUAGUUACCCUCUUGCUCUUUAUAUAUGAAUAAAAGGCUUUGGGAUUUUCCUUAACCAUGUUUGCCAGCAAUAUCUCAUGUCCUCUCUUAGCCCUCUUAAUCUCUUUUUUCAGAUUUGCUCUACAUUCCCGAUAUUCUUGCAAAGGGGAUCUCAUUGAGUAAAUUACACACCAAUAGGUUAAUCUUUACAUAAGUAGUGAACCCCAUCUCUCUUAUAAAACCUCACUGGCACCAACUUCUGCAGCUGGCAUUCUAGUACUGAUCUCACCCAUAAAGACAACAUCACCUCUCUGAUGAAGGGUCUAGGCCCGAAACGUCAGCUUUUGUGCUCCUGAGAUGCUGCUUGGCCUGCUGUGUUCGUCCAGCCUCACACUUUGUUAUCCAUCAUUUCCACAUCUACCUUGUCUAGACCAUUCAAGCAAACUUCAAUCAAGUCACCUCUUGCUCUUUCAAAUUACUGUGGAAACAAAGCCAGCCUGUCCAACCUACCGUCAUAAUAUGACUCACUUAUUUCAGAUACCCCAAUCAAGAAAAACUCCUUUGAACUGCUUUCAAUGCAUUUACACCCAUUGUAAGUAAGACAACCAAAAUGGUACACACUAUGCGAGAUGUUGUCUGACUAAUGCCCCAUAUAACUUCUGUUUUUAUUCAUUCAUGUGAUGUGGGCAUCACUGGCUCGGCUUGUAUUUAUUGCCUAUCCCUAUCUGCCUUUGAGAAGAUGAUGAGCUGCCUCUUGAACUGCUGCAGUGCAUUUUGUGCAAAUAGAGCCACAGUGCCAUGAGGGAAGGAGUUCCAGGAUUUUGACUUAACGACACUGAAGGAGAAGUAAUAUAUUUCCAAGUCUGGAUGAUGGAAGGCAUGGACGGGAACUUACAGUGUUCCCAAGUAUCUUCUGUCCUUGUCAUUAUUGAUGGCAUUGGUUGUGGGUUUGGAAUGUGUUGUCUAAAGAGCCUGGAGGAAUUUCUGCAGUGCAUCUACCAGUGCGGAAUGUGCACACUAUUGCUCCUGAACAUUGGUGGUGGAGGGAGUGGAUGUUUGUGGGUGAGGGGCUAAUCAGGUGGCUGCAUUGUCCUAGAUGGUGUCAAGAUUCUUGAGGUGCAUAAAAUCUGAAGCUCUGAAUGAUCGCAUUCUCUUAUGUACCAUUAUAGUUAAUAAAGGAUUGCACCCCAUUAACCUUUUU